rnacentral:rRNA from 1 species
GGAUGAGCCCGCGGCCUAUCAGGUUGUCGGUGGGGUAAUGGCCUACCAAGGCGGCGACGGGUAUCCGGCCUGAGAGGGUGUGCGGACACAUUGGGACUGAGAUACGGCCCAGACUCCUACGGGAGGCAGCAGUGGGGAAUAUUGCACAAUGGGCGCAAGCCUGAUGCAGCGACGCCGCGUGGGGGAUGAAGGCCUUCGGGUUGUAAACUCCUUUCGCUAUCGACGAAGCCACUUUGUGGUGACGGUAGGUAGAUAAGAAGCACCGGCUAACUACGUGCCAGCAGCGCGG